AGACCUUUAUAAUUGAAGUUCCUUCAGACUCAGUACCCCCAGGAUUAAGAAUAAGAUAAGCGGGAAACUUUGAGUCCUUCAAAGUUGAAGAACAGGUAGCUCUCUGCAUAUCCAUAUCUGCACAUAGAGCAACCCUGGAACAUUUUUUUGAUGAAGCUCUAACCGGUUUGAAACUAGGAGAUUUUGUUAAAGUCCUCACCAUCUUCAAACUAGAUGUCCUUGUUAAAGUUCUAGCAGGUUUAUUACAAGAACCAGAGCUACUUUUUGAACCAGUUGAACUUCUACUACGCAGAUUCUUGCUAUCAGAACCAGUUUGAGUAUUCCGGGAACUCACCUGAGAAACCUCCUUUUUGGCCUCUGAACUGCUGGUGGACUUCAUGUAGUUUGGUGAUCCAUCCACAGCUUUGAUCACAGACUUCUUCUGUGGGGUUGCUGCAGC
rnacentral:lncRNA from 1 species